UCCGGUUUGUCACCGGCAGUCUCACUAAAGUGCCCAACUUAAUGCUGGCAAUUAAUGACAAGGGUUGCGCUCGUUGCGGGACUUAACCCAACAUCUCACGACACGAGCUGACGACAGCCAUGCAGCACCUGUGUCCUGGCUCCCGAAGGCACCCUCGGCUUUCACCAAGGUUCCAGGCAUGUCAAGGGUAGGUAAGGUUUUUCGCGUUGCAUCGAAUUAAUCCACAUCAUCCACCGCUUGUGCGGGUCCCCGUCAAUUCCUUUGAGUUUUAAUCUUGCGACCGUACUCCCCAGGCGGUCGACUUCACGCGUUAGCUGCGGUACUCAAGGAGUCUCCUCCCCGAACACCUAGUCGACAUCGUUUAGGGCGUGGACUAC
rnacentral:misc_RNA from 1 species